rnacentral:rRNA from 1 species
UACGUAGGGUGCAAGCGUUGUCCGGAAUUAUUGGGCGUAAAGAGCUCGUAGGCGGUUUGUCGCGUCGGCUGUGAAAACUCGGGGCUCAACCCCGAGCCUGCAGUCGAUACGGGCAGACUAGAGUGCGGUAGGGGAGACUGGAAUUCCUGGUGUAGCGGUGAAAUGCGCAGAUAUCAGUAGGAACACCGGUGGCGAAGGCGGGUCUCUGGGCCGUAACUGACGCUGAGGAGCGAAAGCGUGGGGAGCAAACAGG